rnacentral:rRNA from 1 species
GGCGGCUUACACAUGCAAGUCGUACGAUGACUCUCUAGCUUGCUAGAGAAGAUUAGUGGCGGACGGGUGAGUAACAUUUAGGAAUCUGCCUAGUAGUGGGGGAUAGCUCGGGGAAACUCGAAUUAAUACCGCAUACGACCUACGGGUGAAAGGGGGCGCAAGCUCUUGCUAUUAGAUGAGCCUAAAUCAGAUUAGCUAGUUGGUGGGGUAAAGGCCCACCAAGGCGACGAUCUGUAACUGGUCUGAGAGGAUGAUCAGUCACACCGGAACUGAGACACGGUCCGGACUCCUACGGGAGGCAGCAGUGGGGAAUAUUGGACAAUGGGGGCAACCCUGAUCCAGCCAUGCCGCGUGUGUGAAGAAGGCCUUUUGGUUGUAAAGCACUUUAAGCAGGGAGGAGAGGCUAAUGGUUAAUACCCAUUAGAUUAGACGUUACCUGCAGAAUAAGCACCGGCUAACUCUGUGCCAGCAGCCGCGGUAAUACAGAGGGUGCGAGCGUUAAUCGGAAUUACUGGGCGUAAAGCGAGUGUAGGUGGCUCAUUAAGUCACAUGUGAAAUCCCCGGGCUUAACCUGGGAACUGCAUGUGAUACUGGUGGUGCUAGAAUAUGUGAGAGGGAAGUAGAAUUCCAGGUGUAGCGGUGAAAUGCGUAGAGAUCUGGAGGAAUACCGAUGGCGAAGGCAGCUUCCUGGCAUAAUAUUGACACUGAGAUUCGAAAGCGUGGGUAGCAAACAGGAUUAGAUACCCUGGUAGUCCACGCCGUAAACGAUGUCUACUAGCCGUUGGGGUCCUUGAGACUUUAGUGGCGCAGUUAACGCGAUAAGUAGACCGCCUGGGGAGUACGGCCGCAAGGUUAAAACUCAAAUGAAUUGACGGGGGCCCGCACAAGCGGUGGAGCAUGUGGUUUAAUUCGAUGCAACGCGAAGAACCUUACCUGGUCUUGACAUAGUGAGAAUCUUUCAGAGAUGAGAGAGUGCCUUCGGGAAUUCACAUACAGGUGCUGCAUGGCUGUCGUCAGCUCGUGUCGUGAGAUGUUGGGUUAAGUCCCGCAACGAGCGCAACCCUUUUCCUUAUUUGCCAGCGGGUUAAGCCGGGAACUUUAAGGAUACUGCCAGUGACAAACUGGAGGAAGGCGGGGACGACGUCAAGUCAUCAUGGCCCUUACGACCAGGGCUACACACGUGCUACAAUGGUAGGUACAGAGGGUUGCUACACAGCGAUGUGAUGCUAAUCUCAAAAAGCCUAUCGUAGUCCGGAUUGGAGUCUGCAACUCGACUCCAUGAAGUCGGAAUCGCUAGUAAUCGCAGAUCAGAAUGCUGCGGUGAAUACGUUCCCGGGCCUUGUACACACCGCCCGUCACACCAUGGGAGUCUAUUGCACCAGAAGUAGGUAGCCUAACGUAAGAGGGCGCUUACCACGG